AGCAGUGGGUAAUUUUCCGCAAUGGGGGCAACCCUGACGGAGCAACGCCGCGUGGGGGAGGACGGUCUGUGGAUUGUAAACCCCUUUUCUCUGGGAAGAAGAACAGACGGUACCAGAGGAAUAAGAAUUGCCUAACUCUGUGCCAGCACCCGCGGUAAGACGUAGGAUGCAAGCGUUAUCUGGAAUUUUUGGGCGUAAAGUGUCCGUAGGCGGUUUAUCAAUUCUGCUGUCAAAGACAGCAGCUCAACUCUGGGCCGGCAGUGGAAACUUAGGAACUGGAGUGCGGUAGGGGUAGAGGGAAUUCCCAGUGUAGCGGUGAAAUGUGUAGAUAUUGGGAAGAACACCAGUGCAGAAGGCGCUCAACUGGCCCGCAACUGACGUUUAGGGACGAAAGCUAGGGGAGCGAAAGCGAUUAGAUAUCCCUGUAGUCCCUAGUCUGUAUAAUGAUGGAUACUAAAUGUUGGUUUGUCAUACGACACAGUACCAUUCAUCGCAGCAUAGACGGCGUUAAUUAUUCAGCCUUGCGAGUCAGACGAA
rnacentral:rRNA from 1 species